AACGAACGCUGGCGGCAUGCCUAACACAUGCAAGUCGAACGAGACCUUCGGGUCUAGUGGCGCACGGGUGCGUAACGCGUGGGAACCUGCCCUUAGGUUCGGAAUAACUCCCCGAAAGGGGUGCUAAUACCGGAUAAUGUCUUCGGACCAAAGAUUUAUCGCCUUUGGAUGGGCCCGCGUUGGAUUAGCUAGUUGGUAGGGUAAAAGCCUACCAAGGCGACGAUCCAUAGCUGGUCUGAGAGGAUGAUCAGCCACACUGGGACUGAGACACGGCCCAGACUCCUACGGGAGGCAGCAGUGGGGAAUAUUGGACAAUGGGCGACAGCCUGAUCCAGCAAUGCCGCGUGAGUGAUGAAGGCCUUAGGGUUGUAAAGCUCUUUUACCCGGGAUGAUAAUGACAGUACCGGGAGAAUAAGCUCCGGCUAACUCCGUG
rnacentral:rRNA from 1 species